CCCGAUGCGGGGCUCAAACUCACGAGCUGUGAGAUCAUGACCUGAGCUGAAGUUGGAUGUUCAACCUACUGAGCCACCCAGGCGCCCCGCCACGGCUGCUUUUAUUAUGGUUGUCUUCCUUCAGGACUCUCCUGAGGUCAACGAAAAUAAUAGUUUGCUGGAAUCUCUAUUUUUAAUCCGGAAUUAUGAUAUCCACCCACACAGAAAGAAGACAUCAUGACUAGUGAAACUGAAUGUGCCCAUCUGUAAAAUGAGGAUGGAGGAUAUGGCUUUAAUGUGGACAUCAAAGCCCGAGGAGAACACUGACAGGCUAGAGUGAGCCAUUGGGAAGGGACCCAAAAGAAGAAAAUUGUACUGUGUUGUGGACAGAAAGAUGCCCGUGCCACCAUGAGCCACUGUUCGCUUUGGUGUUGGCCACCCCACUGCCCUCUGGGACAUAGGAAGACAGCCUCCUGAACUGGCAGCAGUUGAGGAUAUAGAUGGACAAACCACAAUUUCCUUUACUCCUUUGGCUCCUGUCCACAGGCCUCUCUACCUGAGUAAUGGGAGUCCAUUGCAAAGCCCUCUAUACCAUUAUAGUGACAAAAGCCCUACAGAGUCUUGGAAAAUACUGCUUUUGUCCUGUAGUGAAGAUUACAUUUUGCAGAAAGUGCUCUGGGUAAUGGUGGUUCGGAGAUGUUGGCUCUUCUUCUUAAGCUAGUUGCCCUUAUUUUCCAAGUUUCCAUUUAGCACAGAUGUUCUAUAAAGAAUUAUAAGAGUCCCUGGAGUUCUUGCCAAGAAGAUGCUGUUGAGGUCUACAUUAUCUACUACUCAUUGAUUGCUGAAAAUAUAAUCAUCAACUCAAUCAGUAAAUUUCAUUAAAAACCAAACAGAUGAAACAAUUUGACUAACUCUUCUUUGAGCUACAGAAGAAAAAGAACAUCUAUUAGAAAAAUAAACAGCAAUCAUGAAUAAAGUAUCUUGUUUUUAAUCUAGUCUUUUUAUAAGAUUGUCUCUAUUUCUAAAUUGUAGUUAUUCAUUCUGGGAAAAUCUGUAGUUUGUUUCUAAAUGAACGCACAAAUUACUUUAAGUACAAGAUAAACUUUUGGAAUUUAACAAUGCAGUAUUUGCUCUUUAAAUUGUUCCUUUCAUAGCAGCUAACGGAAGAGAACAAACAAUAGUUUCUCCAUAUCCUUGGAAAAGUUUAUCUUGCAAGAGGGGUGACACAAUCUUGUACUUAUUUUCUUUGUCAUUCUGAUAUGAUUAUUUAACUUCUUAUAUAUCCUGAGGUGACAAAGGAAUUUUUAGAGACCAUACUGCUCUUCACAGAACACUUCCAUUUUCUCUGAGCUAAACAUUAGGCAAAUUCUCUUAUUAGUUUUAGCUUAAGAUGAGUAUAUCUAAAGGAUCUAAUUUUUGCAAGGAAUUAAAAGGUCAGAAGAAUAAAUGAGAGAACUCCUAAAGUUAAACACGAUGCAUAUUAUUCUCCGGGCAGUAUGAAAAGGUAACUUUGUCCAGAUAUUGUGACAGGUUGAUUUGAAUAAUCUCAAAAAAUUGAUACUACAGCUAAAUAGAAUAAUACAGACAUUGGAAAUUCAGCAUUCAAGAGCAGUAGCCUUCAUUAGCUCACUCAAUGUGUACUUCCUGAGUUUUUCCACUGUAUAAAGGCCAGAGAGGCACAAGGGGGAACAGAAAACUGUAUGUACCACAGCAGAUUAGGUUGCCCUAUGCAAAGAGCACAGAAUCUACAGAAAUUAGAGGAUCAGAAAUACACAUGAAAUUUAAUUGUGAUAUAAGUCAAGAAGAGAAAACAACAUAUUUAUGUUUACUAAACAUAUACUCAUUUACUAAAAAUGAGAGGCACAAAUAAUAAAAGUUAUAGAAGAUCACAGAAGUGCAUAUGCAUUUUGAAGAUAGUUGGUCUUAGGUAAAAGUCAUUGGCCAGCAGUUGUGACCAUCAUCAUUAAGUGGCUUCAUAACAUUGGAACCUGCCUCUGACUUAAUACCACAGGGCUUCUCUAAGCAAAGUUCCUUUAGUUAGACAGAAAAACCACAUCUUUCUGUAAGUAAUAGCAAAACAUAGUUCUUCCCAGUGCAUCUGGUGAUCCUUCCAAGUUGGGCAGUGAGUAACAAUUU